rnacentral:rRNA from 1 species
AUUGAACGCUGGCGGCAUGCCUUACACAUGCAAGUCGAACGGCAGCACGGGGGCAACCCUGGUGGCGAGUGGCGAACGGGUGAGUAAAGCAUCGGAACGUACCCGGAAGUGGGGGAUAACGUAGCGAAAGUUACGCUAAUACCGCAUAUUCUGUGAGCAGGAAAGAGGGGGAUCGCAAGACCUCUCGCUUUCGGAGCGGCCGAUGUCGGAUUAGCUAGUUGGUGGGGUAAAGGCCUACCAAGGCGACGAUCCGUAGCGGGUCUGAGAGGAUGAUCCGCCACACUGGGACUGAGACACGGCCCAGACUCCUACGGGAGGCAGCAGUGGGGAAUUUUGGACAAUGGGGGCAACCCUGAUCCAGCCAUGCCGCGUGAGUGAAGAAGGCCU